rnacentral:rRNA from 1 species
CCUACGGGGGGCGGCAGUCGAGAAUAGUCUACAAUGGGGGAAACCCUGAUAGUGCGACGCCGCGUGGAUGAAGAAGCAUUUCGGUGUGUAAAAUCCUUUUCUGUGAGAGCAAUGUCUUUAAGGUUAAUAGCUUUAAGGAAGAGAUAUUAUUACAGGAAUAAGCUCCGGCUAACUCCGUGCCAGCAGCCGCGGUAACACGGGGGGAGCAAGCGUUGUCCGGAAUUACUAGGCGUAAAGGGCAAGUAGGCGGAAUUGUAAGUCAGAUGUUAAAGGCACCGGCUCAACCGGUGUACGGCAUUUGAUACUGUAAUUCUAGAGUAAGGUGGGGGAAGAUGGAAUUCCUGGUGUAGCGGUGGAAUGCGCAGAUAUCAGGAAGAACACCAGAGGCGAAGGCGAUCUUCUAUACCAUUACUGACGCUGAAUUGCGAAGGUGUGGGUAUCAAACAGGAUUAGAUACCCUGGUAGUCCACACAGUAAACGAUAUACACUAGGUGUUGGGGGAGAUGAUCUUUCAGUGCCGUGGCUAACGCGUUAAGUGUAUCGCCUGGGGAGUACGAUCGCAAGGUUAAAACUCAAAGGAAUUGACGG